ACGCUCGACACCUACGGGAGGCAGCAGUGGGGAAUAUUGCACAAUGGGGGAAACCCUGAUGCAGCGACGCCGCGUGAGCGAAGAAGUAUUUCGGUAUGUAAAGCUCUAUCAGCAGGGAAGAAAAUGACGGUACCUGACUAAGAAGCCCCGGCUAACUACGUGCUAGCAGCCGCGGUAAUCUGAGCGGCUGGCAAGGC
rnacentral:rRNA from 1 species